UACAUGAACAAAAAACAGUUGC
rnacentral:siRNA from 1 species